CCUGCCUCCACGCACGUCAGAACCUAAGCCUUGUGAAGCAUUUGGCAUCUGUUCAAGGCUCAAAGGCCUUAGGUAAUGAGAUAGUUGGAGUCUUUCUUAGUUGUCAUUGCAAAGUCCUCAUAAUUUUUAAAGUGGCUUUUAUUCUACUUAUUAUAGGCACCAAAAUGCCACUGAAUGUUUUAAACAAUGACUCAGAUAAAGGCAAAGAUGGCAUGCUUAUCAAACUUGCAGAUGACACAAGGCUGGGAGGAAUAACUAAUACAAUAGAUGACAGAUUCAGGAUCCAAAACAGUUUUGACAGAUCUUAA
rnacentral:lncRNA from 1 species